rnacentral:misc_RNA from 1 species
GCAAAGGAAGGAUCUAGCUAAGUUCAUUUGACAAAGUCACUAAAGAUAUGCUUGUCAUCUCUACGCUGUGAGGCAAGACUGAAGAGCCAAUUGUACCAAGAGAAAAGAAAUGCUUGUGCCAGGCAAAACAUCUGUCAGAUGUGCAUUUCUAUAGCAUCAUCUUGUCUGUUAGAUGAUCGCACCCCCUCUGCAAUAAUUCAAUUCAGAAUCCACCAGCACUACACUUCUGCGCCACUUAAUAAGGUCUCAUUUUUGUCAUG